rnacentral:lncRNA from 1 species
ACAAAGUCACACAAUUGAGAAUUCUGGACAAUGACACUGCUCAAUUUUUUUUUUUUUUUUUUUUUUAGUAUUCUGUGAAUUUCCUAUUACAUCAGUUUCAUGAUUCAGCAUUUUCCAUUUCAUUUAUUUACAGUAAUAUAUGGUAAGAUAACCCUAGGUUUCUGCAGGAUCCUGGAACAUAAGGUAGGUUGGGCCAUUAGGGUGCCGCCUUCUGUAAAUUGACUAUUGUUUAAGAGAACUUGAAAACAGGAAAAAGCCAUUAAAGGAGCUGAAAAAUUUACCCCCACGGGGUUCUGAUGGUCCUACUGACUCCAGUAUUUAAAAUGAGUCGGUUCUGAAAAAAAUAAGGUACUGCCAUUUGGGUGAUGAGUACAACAGAAGCUGGAAAGUGUGCCAAUUGCAAACUGACACGCGUAAGCCUAACAAAGUCUCUGAAAUGACACUGUUCAAGACGCAGCUAAAGUCACCACUCGGGCAGUAAGCAUGUUACAAAGAACUAGAUUUCUUCCUGGCAUCCACAACUUGGCUGGAGUGACCAAAGAGGAGUUCAGGAGCGCUGGAAAUGCGAGCGGGCACCACCCAGCCCCUGGGAUCCAGUGGUGGCAGGACCAUUGACGUGCCGGAACCUGGGUCUCCAGCAAUGACUUGAGCUGUUCUGCUGCCCAGGGCAGCAGGAGAUGAGGUUGCUGGUUUAAUCCAGUUUGGAGAGGGGAGCAAGAAAGUCAGGAUUUCUUUUCACAGUGGAGUAUGACAUUUUGAUAUGCAAGAGAGUCACUUAUUACCCCAGUCUCCCCUCUAGCAGUUUGUGUCAGUAAUUUGAGAGGUGUGGUUUGACUUUACAAGAAGGCUACUUAUUGAAAAAUAAAUAUACUUUCCUUGUGGAAGGGUUUGAAAUUCUACUAUUCAUUGGUUUGAAUUAAGCUUUAAUAUUCCAUUCAAAUCCAAAAGCCUCUGGGGGAGACAGUGAACUCAGUCUCCCCCAUGCCUGCCUUAGUGUGAGUCAGUUUAUCACCUCUCCCUUUGAGAGACUCCUUAGGGAGGCCUGGGAAGAGAACAACUCCACAUCCCAGCAAUGAAAGAGACCAAGGUGAUGAAGCCUGGAGUGAGGUCCCGAUCUGGACAUUGAUGCCCAGCAGGAGGAGCACCAGGGGCCUGGGGCGGACGCGAGGAAGCAGGUGCCCCAGCUGAACAUAGCUGCCUUGCUGCCUGCAGCCUGAUGUCCUGGCCAGGUGUCCUCAGACUCUGAAGUGGCUGAAGACCAGUAAAAUCUCAGGGACCAACACAGUUGGUCAACUGUUAACUUGUCAAAGAAAAAUGUUUUCAAGAAAUAAACUAAAACAUGUUAUAGUCUAUCAACAUCAUUUUAUUAAGACAAAGUCUCCCCUCAUCCACCCUAACAUUUGUG